CCUACGGGGCGCAGCAGUGGGGAAUAUUGCACAAUGGGGGAAACCCUGAUGCAGCGACGCCGCGUGAGUGAAGAAGUAUUUCGGUACGUAAAGCUCUAUCAGCAGGGAAGAAAAUGACGGUACCUGACUAAGAAGCCCCGGCUAACUACGUGCCAGCAGCCGCGGUAAUACGUAGGGGGCAAGCGUUAUCCGGAUUUACUGGGUGUAAAGGGAGCGUAGACGGCAGCGCAAGUCUGGAGUGAAAUCCCAUGGCUUAACCAGGGAACUGCUUUGGAAACUGUGCAGCUAGAGUGCAGGAGAGGUAAGCGGAAUUCCUAGUGUAGCGGUGAAAUGCGUAGAUAUUAGGAGGAACACCAGUGGCGAAGGCGGCUUACUGGACUGUAACUGACGUUGAGGCUCGAAAGCGUGGGGAGCAAACAGGAUUAGAUACCCUUGUAGUC
rnacentral:rRNA from 1 species